CCCGAAACUGGCUGCCCCGGGGCAGGGCCGGUUGACCCGCGCCUGGGAGGAGCCCCGCGUCCCGUCGCGCCGACCCUGGGCUGGCUGCGUGUGCGUCGGGAGUCGAGCCGCCGUACGCACCAGGAAGUGACUCCCAGCGGCAGAGAUCCACGCUGUCCGCUGGCUUUUUCGUUUGCCGCCUCAGGUAUCACCAACUGUGAAUUCCACACAGGUUGAGCAGAGAAGAUUUUACCACAGCUGCUACAGUCAAAGGAAAAUUGGCAGUUCAUUGUUGCUGUGGUGAGCCCAGCCCAGG
rnacentral:lncRNA from 1 species